GCCCAGGUGGUGAAAUUGGUAGACACGCUAGCUUCAGGUGCUAGUGCUCGCAAAGGGCGUGGAGGUUCAAGUCCUCUCCUGGGCACCA
rnacentral:tRNA from 1 species